rnacentral:misc_RNA from 1 species
GCAAACUUGGUCAUUUAGAGGAAGUAAAAGUCGUAACAAGGUUUCCGUAGGUGAACCUGCGGAAGGAUCAUUACUGUGAGGGCCCUUCACGGGGCCCUCGCCGAGAUAACACCCCUUGUCUUUGGAGCACCGCACGUUUCCCCGGCAGGUUCGCCUGCCAGCGGGGACCCCAAACCAAACCUUUGCAGUAGCAAGCAGUAAACGUCAAACAAACAAAUUAUCAAAACUUUCAACAACGGAUCUCUUGGUUCUGGCAUCGAUGAAGAACGCAGC